rnacentral:miRNA from 1 species
GGGGAGGAGAGAGGGACAGAGAACCUGCUUGCUUUAAAGGAGUCAACCGGACAGGAGCCGCUUACACUUGUGUAAGCGGCUCCUCUCCUCUCCCGCUUUGCUCCUUUAAAGAAGCAGGUUCUCUGUCCCUCUCUCCUCCCC